CUGAUAAAUUCAGUGUUUUGAACUGUCUAGAAGUGAUUUGUGUGUUAACUCUUACUUAAGAACAGAUUUCCUGGCUUCAGAAACUUGAUUGCCUAAUGUGCAGUAACAGCAAGCUGAAUGAGAUGGGCAUACAGGAGAAAUUAUCAUCUAUCAGGUGUUUUAAUGGCCUCUUUUGGUUCAGCUCUGUGCUGGCAGCUGAAAUAUUACCAAGACACCCAGAGCACUAAGCCAAACCCUGUGGCUGGGUAGGUAAAGCUGUUUCUGUGGCUGAAGGGCCUGGCAUAAAAAUGGAUUUUAUAGAAAGAUACAGACAGAAUUGGUCCAAGCCUGAUGGUGCAGGGAGAUAUCCCUGGCAAGUUCUCCUCCUUAUUCAGCGUGGCUUUCCAUCAGUUUUUUUCAUUUCCAGUAGGUCACCUGUGUACUAUGAUGACUUAGGGGAGAGCAUCUGACACUGUCACCCAGAUGGCCUGGCUACAUGGACAGGUAUCAGAACGGAGCAGCUGCUGGAGCUGGCAUGAAUCGCAGAGCUGCUUCAUUUCCCUUCACAGACUCUUGCCUGACUCAUUUUUUAUUAUGUAGCUUGGCUUCCUGUCCCUGGCUCUCUCCAGGCAGCUGAAGUUUCAUGAUAAAAGCAGCAAAAUCCCCCUACUAGGCUCCAAACUGGACUUCCUUAAUGAGAGACACCAGUGCUAUCAUUCAGACAUCAGUCCCUGCCUCAAGUCUUUUGACUUUUUAGCAAACUUCAACCCUUGCCACUUGGCAGAACCAUGAUGCUGUGUGUUAUUGUAGGCACUAUUUACAUGGGUUCUGCUAGUUCAAAAGCAAUCAGUGGAAAGAGAUUGUCAGGGACCCUUUCAUGGGGAUGCUUCUGUAUAAAGAUACAGCUCACAUUGAGCAUGAUGCUUUCUCAAACAUUUCUGUAUCUAGUUGAGAUUUCAUUGAAGUUGGUACUUUUUGUAGUCAAGAUGAGACCCAUCUAAUGGUUAAAUAAUUACUUACAUGGCACAACAUUUCCUGUUACCUCUACUAUUACAGAUCAUUUUGUUAACAUGGGCAGAACCAGCAGCUCUCACAUUUAACGUCAGCCCCUGGAGAAUUUUGAUCACUCAAGUUGAAUGUAGUUGAAAAACAAAUCUCCUGGUAAAAGUUAUGUGACUCAGUAAAGGUCUCCCAAAGUCCUCACUCCUCCUCACUUUGAUUUCCUGGUCUGUGACAAUCAUAUACAUUAUAUCACAACUAUAGAUUGGACACCAAGAUGAAAUCUUUGCCUGACUUUUGGAUACGUACCAGUAAAUACAGAAGUCUACGUUUAUACCUAUUAAAAAAAUUAGCCAUACUUAAGAAAGAAAUACAGAGCUAGCUGAAGAAAGCACAAAUCAAAUCCAAAUAAAACAGUCAUUCUAGGCUUCUUGUUA